AUUGAACGCUGGCGGCAUGCCUUACACAUGCAAGUCGAACGGUAAAAGGGCUUCGGAUGCUGACGAGUGGCGAACGGGUGAGUAAUACAUCGGAACGUGCCUAGUAGUGGGGGAUAACUACUCGAAAGAGUGGCUAAUACCGCAUGAGAUCUACGGAUGAAAGCAGGGGAUCGCAAGACCUUGUGCUACUAGAGCGGCCGAUGGCAGAUUAGGUAGUUGGUGGGAUAAAAGCUUACCAAGCCGACGAUCUGUAGCUGGUCUGAGAGGACGAUCAGCCAGACUGGGACUGAGACACGGACCAGACUCCUACGGGAGGCAGCAGUGGGGAAUUUUGGACAAUGGGCGCAAGCCUGAUCCAGCAAUGCCGCGUGCAGGAUGAAGGCCUUCGGGUUGUAAACUGCUUUUGUACGGAACGAAAAGCCCUGGGUUAAUACCCUGGGGUCAUGACGGUACCGUAAGAAUAAGCACCGGCUAACUACGUGCCAGCCGCCGCGGUAAAAC
rnacentral:rRNA from 1 species